CCUACGGGUGGCAGCAGUAGGGAAUCUUUCACAAUGGGCGAAAGCCUGAUGGAGCAACGCCGCGUGCAGGAUGAAGGCCUUCGGGUUGUAAACUGCUUUUAUAAGCGAGAAAUAUGAUGGUAACUUAUGAAUAAGGAUCGGCUAACUACGUGCCAGCAGCCGUGGUCAUACGUAGGAUCCGAGCAUUAUCCGGAGUGACUGGGUGUAAAGAGUUGCGUAGGUGGCAUAAGAAGUAGCUAGUUAAAUCUGGUGGCUCAACCAUUCGGACUAUUAGCUAAACUGUUAAGCUCGAGACCGUUAGAGGUAACUGGAAUUUCUAGUGUAGGAGUGAAAUCCGUAGAUAUUAGAAGGAACACCGAUAGCGUAGGCAGGUUGCUGGGGCGGUUCUGACGCUAAGGCACGAAAGCGUAGGGAGCAAACGGGAUUAGAUACCCGGGUAGUC
rnacentral:rRNA from 1 species